rnacentral:rRNA from 1 species
GAUGAACGCUGGCGGCGUGCCUAAUACAUGCAAGUCGAGCGAAGCGGGGACGGGUGAGUAACACGUGGAUAACCUCCUAUAAGACUGGGAUAACUUCGGGAAACCGGAUCUAAACCGGACCCUAAUUGAUGGAUCCGCGCUGCAUUAGCUAGUUGGUAAGGUAACGGCUUACAAAGGCAACGAUGCAGAGCCGACCUGAGAGGGUGAUCGUCCACACUGGAACUGAGACACGGUCCAGACUCUUACGGGAGGCAGCAGUAGGGAAUCUUCCGCAAUGGGCGAAAGCCUGACGAAGUAACGCCGCGUGAGUGAUGAAGGUCUUCGGAUCGUAAAACUCUGUUAUUAGGGAAGCGGUACCUAAUCAGAAAGCCACGGCUAACUACGUGCCAGCAGCCGCGGUAAUUC